rnacentral:rRNA from 1 species
AUGUUGAAGUGCUAUGUGAACCCACACAAGUCAAUUCUCAACUUCGUCAAGCAAUAUGAGAAGAUUCAGGUACACAUGCUUGUGAGGGAGGGCGGGAACGACUACCGAACAGAGUAUCUGGAAGCACAAAGAUGGUCAUGUUUCCCCAUUGAGAGGCAUGCCUACAAAGCAUACACUAGGGAUAUCUAUGUGAAAUUUAGAACUGAGUUUCAGAUGAUUGGCCAGUACGAUGUGCGUCCCGCUGGAAUCAACUUCUAUUACCUUGAGCCCAAUACAUAA